AAGAUGGACUCGCGUCCGAUUAGCUAGUUGGUGAGGUAACGGCUCACCAAGGCGACGAUUGGUAGCCGGACUGAGAGGUUGAACGGCCACAUUGGGACUGAGACACGGCCCAGACUCCUACGGGAGGCAGCAGUGGGGAAUAUUGCACAAUGGGGGGAACCCUGAUGCAGCGACGCCGCGUGAGGGAAGAAGGUUUUCGGAUUGUAAACCUCUGUCCUUGGUGACGAUAAUGACGGUAGCCAAGGAGGAAGCCACGGCUAACUACGUGCCAGCAGCCGCGGUAAUACGUAGGUGGCGAGCGUUGUCCGGAAUUACCGGGUGUAAAGGGAGCGUAGGCGGGAAGACAAGUUGGGAGUGAAAUGUAUGGGCUUAACCCAUAAACUGCUUUCAAAACUGUUCUUCUUGAGUGAAGUAGAGGCAGGCGGAAUUCCUAGUGUAGCGGUGAAAUGCGUAAAUAUUAGGAGGAACACCAGUGGCGAAGGCGGCCUGCUGGGCUUUAACUGACGCUGAGGCUCGAAAGCGUGGGUAGCAAACAGGAUUAGAUACCCUGGUAGUCCACGCUGUAAACGAUGAUUACUAGGUGUGGGGGGACUGACCCCUUCCGUGCCGGAG
rnacentral:rRNA from 1 species